rnacentral:lncRNA from 1 species
GUGUGUGGCAGGCUGCAUCACCACUUGAUCCACCUUGGACAAGUGGUUUUUUUGUUUCAAGAGCCAGCUUGAGUGACAGGUGACAGCUCCUGGGAGUCUCUGUUGAGGAUUGGAGUCUUCGUGGAAGAGAGUGCUGGGAUCGAUUAGCAAUGUCUGCUGUGGGCACUGAAGGGGUUAUAAGGGCACAGGUGCUGACUCCACCCUAGAAGGCGAUCUCCUCAAUCUUCUCUGUCUAGAAACGGGGUUAGGAGAACAUUUAACUGAAAAAAGCGACUUCUAAAAUGUCCCCAAGACCCGGUGGUGGAGGUUGUGUAAACCCGGGCAAUGUCUUGUGUGUCCGUGCCCGCUGUGGUUUCGGAUCCAGGGGUCGAUCUGAAACUUGGGCGUUCACCUGCCAUCCCUCCGGUUGGGGGCUACUGGGGGCAGUUGGGAACGUCCCCUCUGCAGGUGGCCUUUCUGGAGGGCUGGCCUUCGUGGGGACGACCUCACGGAGCCGCGGGUCAGAAGUCUGCGCCCAGCUCGCCUCGCGGUCCUCCCCGCGGCCCUCUGUCCACCCCCCAGGGUCUGGGUGCCAUCUCGUGGCAGCGUCGGGCUCCUAUGGCCUCUUUGUAAUGCGAGCUGGACGUGGUGACCCCGGAGACAGCUCCCUGCUUUCUCAGGUCACCCGGGGCUCUGUGUCCUCUGUCGCCCUCCAGAUCUGAGGCCCAAGUCCAGCCUCUCUGGGCUCUGGCCUUGUCCACCCAGAGUGAGCCUGGCUCCAGUGGCACACGCCAGGUGGGACGUCGGUGUCCUCUGCCCCGCCCUGGUGCUGGGCCAGCCUGGUGCUGCAGUUCGACCAUCUCCCGGUUCGUGGCUGGUUUACAGACACUGCCUCUGAUUUUCACUGUCACUUGGCAGAUGACCUUGGACCAUGUGUGCUGGGCCCAGGGAGUUGGCACUGGUUGGGGGACAGCAACUGAGGCUGGCGCUGGUGGCGUUGGUGCCUUCUGACCGAGAGCUGGAGUCUUGCCAAUGCUCGGGGGGCGCCCGCUGGCCCUGAAGCUCACAUCCCUCCAUCCAUUUCUGACAGUGUUGCCCUCCGAGCCUUAGUCCACCUGUUCACCAGGGCUCAGUCUGAGGGUGUGUUGGGCUCAGAGGUGCUGGUUAAGGGGCGGCCGCAUGGGGCUCGUGGUCUGCGGCGCUCUGGUUGCCCCCACCCCCAGCUGGGUGCUCCAGGUGCCCUAGGGGCUUGGCGGCCCCCCGGCUGCACGGGACGGGGUCCGUUUGAGGAAGGAGUGUGCUCGCAUCUCUCCAGCCCUGGCGCUCCUGUGGGGUCUUCCUGUGGUGGCCUCUGGCCGCAGUGGCUCCGGUCACGGGUUGGCUGUCAGCAGGAAGCUGGGUGGAGGUGGCUGGCCCGGUGGAGGGGACAGGCCCACGUGGGGACGGUGGCCGGAGCAGGCAGGGCAGCAGACAGGCCACGAGUCGGGCAGGGAGGUGUGGGUGCCCCUGGCCUGACCCUUGGGUUCGGGGCUGCAUGCACCGCAGAGAAGCAGGGCCUUGGGUCCCAGUCCCUGGGGGGUCGGGCGUGUGGGCGAGCUGGGGACGUGGGCGGGCACCAGAGCCCCCACCUACCUGGGAGGCCCAUAUCCUGCCCAGCUGCCCUUGCAGCCCCCACACGGGAGGGUCGCACCUCCUACCUGCCCAGCUUGGGGCCACCGCUGCCCGGGGCCGCCAGGGCGAGCCCCUCCCUGGUCCUGGCGCCCGUCCUCCCAUCUCACCGUGACCGGGAAGGGCCGUUGCUGGCAGGGCGGCCUGCAGGUCUGCGCCUUCCCUCCAUGCGGCUCCCGUGGUCCCCAGCCCUCUGGGGACAAAGGUGGCCAUUUCUGAGUUUGGGGAGACAGGGAGGAGCAGAUGCGGGGUGACGUCACAUGGUUGUGUUUGCUCGUGUUUAAUAAUAAUAACAACCCCACGAAGGAGCUGCAGACUUAGAGAAAAGUUGCAAGUACGGUAAAAAUAACUUUUCCUGAAUCUCUAGAGUCAGUGGUGGCUCUCAGCCCCUUCGCCCUUCACGCUUUGGGGAGGGUCUCCAGGAAGCAAGGACCCCCUCCGACAGGCCCAGGCCACCGGGAGCCCGGCACCUGCCGGCCGGCGCUCGCCCCUUCACGGCUCACCUGGUGCCCCUGUUUUGAACCUCCAGUCCCCGUCGUGUGGGGCUCCCUGGUCGUGUCCAGUCUACCCGGACAGGUGCGCAGUUUCUUGACUUCAUGACCUUGAUACUUGAAGGUCAGCCAGUGACUGUAGAGUGGCUCCCAGGUUGGUUUUUCAUUCUUUUUUUUUGAGGAAGAUUAGCCCUGACCUAACUACUGCCAAUCCUCCUGUUUUUUUUUGCUGAGGAAGACUGGCCCUGAGCUAACAUUCAUGCCCAUCUUCCUCUACUUUAUAUGUAGGAUGCCUCCCACAGCAUGGCUUGCCAAGCAGUGCCAUGUCCGCACCCGGGAUCCGAACCAGCAAACCCCAGGCCGCCGAAGUGGAACAUGCGAACUUAACUGCUGCGCCACCAGGCUGGCCCCCCAGGUUGGGUUCAUGUGGGGUUUCCUCAUGGCGAGAUUUGGGUUCUACGUUUUUUGCAGGAAUGUCCCAGCGGCGCAUCUUGGUGGGUGGCGUCUGCCACCUCAGCUCGUCCGUGGCCCUUGUCCACUCAUCGCUUGGUUGAGGUGUGGCCGCCGGGCCGCCCAGUGACUCCCCCGUCGUCGUCACUGAGUGGGAAGCUGCUUUGAAACCACGUGACCAUCCCGUCCCUCAUCGGUCUUCCUUUAGUUACUCACCCCCCUUUUCCGUCUCUGUGCCCUGGGGUCCUUUCUGCGGUGGGUUCCGGUCUGCCACUGCAUUUGGUUUGAUGCUCAUGUUGUCCUCAUGUGGCCAGUGGGGACCCUUCAUCCAGUGUCCCUUUGCUCCGUCCCUGCCACCCUUUGAGUGUUUCCUUGCUUUCUGGCGUGAAAAGAUGCUCCAGCCUCAGCCCCAGGCCUGGGAGGAGCCGUUUCUCCAAGGACCCCCGUUCCCUUAGGUGGAGGAUGGGGUCUGGGAACCAAGACGCAGUGUGAGGGGUGCUCACGGCUCCUGGGUGGCUGCAUCUGGGCUCUCGGGGUGGACAGAGCUAGGGAAUAUAUGCCUCUGCCUGUCUGUCCGUCCAUCCAUCCAUCCGUCCGUCCAUCCAUCCAAUCUGUCGACACCUGUGAGAUGACACCAGCACCUCCAGUGUCAUCCCAACCCCCAUGCAUGGCCACGGGGUGCGUCCUGGUUUUCUCUCCUGUUCUCUGAGCAGUCCCACUUCUCCUUAGCCUGCGCACUCACUUGAUGAGCUCCCCUGUAAGCAGUCGGUCUCCCGCCGCCCUGCCCCCCUCCCCCAGACACGCCCUCCCCACCCCUGGGUGCUCCGCGAACGCCCUCCCACCACACCUCCAGGAAGGCGCUUUCCACCUGGGCCCUUUGCAGAUUAGGAGCGGCCAAGUCCACGUGCCACCGGAGAACUUGGCCAGCUCAUUGAGACCAAAUAAUUAAGUAAAUAAGUAAAUAAAUAGCAUUAGAAGAAAUGCUACUCUGUAUUCACACAUAGUAGGAUUGUCUAUAUAGAAAAGCCAAAAUCAUUAAGCAUAGUAAGAAUCCAGCAAAAUGGCUCACUGUGACAUUAAUACACUGAAAUCAGUUGCUUUUCUAAACACUAACAACUGUCAUAUUUAUUUUAAAAGAUACUGUAAAAGUGAUAUGAUUUAAGUAAGAAUAACAUCCUUAAGAUCCUUAAAAAUAAAUUGAACAAAAGAUGUUCAAGGUGGGGCUGGCCCAGUGGUGCGGCAGUUAAGUUCACAUGUUCCACGUCAGGGGGCCCGGGGUUCGUCGGUUCGGAUCCCAGGUGUGGACAUGGCACCGCUUGGCAAGCCAUGCUGUGGUAGGCGUCCCACAUAUAUGGUAGAGGAAGAUGGGCACGGAUGUUAGCUCAGGGCCAGUCUUCCUCAGCAAAAAGAGGAGGAUUGGCAGCCGAUGUUAGCUCAGGGCUGAUUUUCCUCACCACACACACAAAAUAAUAAUAAUUCAAGGCCUAUAUACAGAAAACUGGAAUUUCGCUAAAAUCUGUGAUUGUAAACUUGGAUAGAGGCAGCCCUGGUUUUCUCUUGCUGAGUGUUAGGUUAUCAGAUAGCCUAAGAUACUCCCCCCUUUGCUUGCUCACAGCCCUGCGGGUCAGACGUCCGGGCCCGACAUAGCAGGCCCUCUGCUCAAGCCGUCGGUCAGGCUGUGUUCCUUCUGGCUUCUCUGGGGAAGAGCCCAGGAACCAGAGGCUGCCUGCGUUCUUUGCCACCCGGCCCCCCAUCUUCAAAGUCAGCGACAGAGAACCUGCCACGAACCGAACCCCUCACCCAUGAACGUCUUCUUUAGCAAGAGCCCUGGCCUUUUACAGGUUCCCUGAUUAGGUCAGGCCCACCAGGACACUCUCCCUUUCUUAAAGUCAACUGUGCCAUAAAAUCAUCCCCCAAUCCCAGGAUGGCUCUCUGAGUCGCAGUCACUGGUUCCACCCACAUCCCCUGGGAAGAGAGUGGGGGUCACUGGGGGUCAUCUCAGAAUCCCGCCCACCAGGGUUUUGCUAUCUUCAUGGGUAGGAAGAGUUGAUAUUGUAAAAAUGUCAGUGUUCCCCAAAUUCGUGCAAACAUUUGUUAUAAUUCUAAACACAAUGCUGUGUUUCCCCUUAUAAAAUUUGACAAGCCAAUUGAAAAAUGUGACUGAGACAUGUGCGCAGAAAUAGCUAAGUCACUUCUAUCGAACACGGCAGAGGACCCCGAGGGCCUUGUUCCACCAGCGUCCCUGACUUACUGGCAAGAAAAGGGGACCCCGAGAGGCUGAUAGUGGUGCAGGGAGCAGCGGGGUUGAGAGCCCAGAGAGGGUGCCGCCUGCCUGUGGGGCUUUGAUGCACAGCCGGGCCUCGGUAGGAGGGACGGGUUACCCGGGAAAUGCCAUCUGAGUUCCGGUCCACGCGGAGGAGGGAAACAUCAGAUCCCGUCUCACACCUGCCACGUCCCAGCUGCGCGAGGCUAAAGCGUGGAGGGCAAAGUUCAGGACACUUAGAAGACAGCAUAGACGAGAGAAUACCAAUACACUCGACACACUUAAGAACGUCUGUCUGUAAAAGACGUCGUAAAGCCGACAGGCAAACCACAACCUGGGAGGACAGAUUUGGGACAGAUAUAAUGGAUCAAGGACUUAGAUAUUGACCACAAACAGCUCCUAAAAAUUAGCAAGAAAAAGAAAAACCAAAUAGAAAAACGGGUUGGAACUGUCUGCUCCCAGAAAAGUGAGCACCCAAGUCGUGUAGUCGUGUGAAAAGGGGUUCCGACUCACCAGGAGCUGGCGACACGGCCAGGAAGACCGCGGUGCGAUGCAUUUCAGCGUCGCUAGAUUCUCGAAAUUGAAGAAGGCCGGCCAUUCGAACAGUGGGACUUUUAUAUAUUCUUGGAGGAAAUUUAAAGGAUAUGACCUCUUUGCAAAAUAACUUGGCACUAUUUAUUAUAGUUGCAUAUGACAUACCUUGCAUUCCGCUAGGUACACACUCAAGAGAAACCCCUGGCCACGUAUGCUAGGUGGUAGAAUGUCCCAAAGAGAGUAUGAGUCCCAGCAAAAAGCUGGAUGCAAAUGUCCUCAACAGAAGGCACACAUAUGUUGAGGUUUAUUCACUUGAUGGAAUAUUAUACAGCAGUGAACAGGGAUGGACUCCAGCUACAAACAGCUACAUGAAGGAGUCUUAGGAACACAGUAUUGAGUGAACAUAGCAAGUUCCAGAAGACUCCAUAAGGCACAAUAUUAUUUCUAUAAAAUUCAAAACAGUAUACCAUAUGGGCAUGCACACAUUGGCGACGGGAUUACUCAAAAAUAAAACACAAGGGGGUGGUGAGCCUGGAAUCCAGCAGAAUGGUCACCUCCUGGGGAGCAAGGGACAGGAUGGGAAGGAACAGGGGUUGAUGCGAGUUCUGUGGGCGGGGUUCAAGGUCAUUGUGUUAUUGAACUUUAUAAUGUACAUGUAUUCUUCUGUACGUGCCAAAUAUGAAAAUAAAGGAAGCGCACGAGAG